CUCAAAGAUCCCAACAUUCAUUCUAUCUGUUAUUGCUGCAGCUGUUAUUUACAGAGUAAACCCAAAUCAUAAUGUAAAAGAAGAAAGAUGCAGUUUUGCUGCUGUUUUUCUUGCUGAAACAGUGGAUGUUGCUGCUGGUUUUGCUGCAUAAACAUGAAGAAUUGCUGGUAUUUUAGCUAUGUUGUUUUGGUGAUGAAACGGGCAGCAUUGCUGCUGUUUUUGGCUCUGUUACGUCUAAGAUCAGUUGGUUAUUCAACAGAUGCGUUUGCUCUUGCUGUUCUGGAGGGCAGCACACAAGCAAGCGGUAUGGUUUCCAGAAGAGUUACACAUUGCUCUUGAUGUUAUUCUAGUAAGAAGUAGUCCAUUGUGUCCUCUUUGAAUGUAUAAAAAUGUUGAGGUAUAAUUCUGGUCUUAAGCAAAUGUAUUAUAAUACUUUUUUUGUUAUUUUGGGAAUAGCUGGCUAGUAACUCGUCCCAAAAUGUCGAACUACUGCUUCAAGGAUGACUCGGGUAGUCUUAUUGUAUACUCAGCUGUCAAACUAACUUGUGAAUUACUAUCGAUAUGUAACUUUUGU